rnacentral:rRNA from 1 species
GUGAGGUAAUGGCCCACCAAGGCGACGAUCGGUAGCCGGACUGAGAGGUUGAACGGCCACAUUGGGACUGAGACACGGCCCAGACUCCUACGGGAGGCAGCAUG